GGUUGCCGUGGGGGACGGCGGUGUGAGAUCUCGUGUUUCCGUGGAGGUAAUUUAGGGCUCGCGCCACCGGAAGGGGAUUCGCUCCCUCGUUCCUCUUCCUCCUGUGAAAUCGCUCCAAUUUGGGAUAUCAAGACGGGGACGAUAGUUGAGCAUGGCACUGAGCGACAUGGAUUUUACUACGUGGAUGAGAUAGCCCAACAGAGUACUGCGAUGCUACCUCACGGACUAACUGACAGACAGAUUUGGCUCUUGCAUCGCCGGUUAGGGCACCCAUCCAUAAGUUAUCUUCGCCUACUCUUUCCUGAGUUAGUUUCUUCUAUGCAUGUUUUGAAUUGUGAAAUUUGUAUUUUAGCAAAAAGUCACAGACAUUCCUUCAAAUUAAACAACAUUAGAGAAAAAUCACCUUUUGCUUUGGUUCACUCUGAUGUGUUGGGCCCUGCUCCGGUUACUGGAGGACAAGGUUUUCGAUAUUUUUUGUUGUUUAUUGAUGAUUUUUCGCGUA